CCUACGGGAGGCUGCAGUGGGGAAUAUUGGGCAAUGGGCGCAAGCCUGACCCAGCAACGCCGCGUGAAGGAAGAAGGCUUUCGGGUUGUAAACUUCUUUUCUCAGGGACGAAGCAAGUGACGGUACCUGAGGAAUAAGCCACGGCUAACUACGUGCCAGCAGCCGCGGUAAUACGUAGGUGGCAAGCGUUAUCCGGAUUUACUGGGUGUAAAGGGCGGGUAGGCGGGAAAGCAAGUCAGAUGUGAAAACCAUGGGCUCAACCUGUGGCCUGCAUUUGAAACUGUUUUUCUUGAGUACUGGAGAGGCAGACGGAAUUCCUAGUGUAGCGGUGAAAUGCGUAGAUAUUAGGAGGAACACCAGUGGCGAAGGCGGUCUGCUGGACAGCAACUGACGCUGAGGCGCGAAAGCGUGGGGAGUAAACAGGAUUAGAUACCCCAGUAGUC
rnacentral:rRNA from 1 species